rnacentral:rRNA from 1 species
UAUUGCACAAUGGGCGGAAGCCUGAUGCAGCGACGCCGCGUGAGUGAAGAAGUAUCUCGGUAUGUAAAGCUCUAUCAGCAGGGAAGAAAAUGACGGUACCUGACUAAGAAGCCCCGGCUAACUACGUGCCAGCAGCCGCGGUAAUACGUAGGGGGCAAGCGUUAUCCGGAUUUACUGGGUGUAAAGGGAGCGUAGACGGUUAUGCAAGUCUGGAGUGAAAGCCCGGGGCUCAACCCCGGGACUGCGUUGGAAACUGUAAAACUGGAGUGCAGGAGAGGCAGGCGGAAUUCCUAGUGUAGCGGUGAAAUGCGUAGAUAUUAGGAGGAACACCAGUGGCGAAGGCGGCCUGCUGGACUGUAACUGACACUGAUGCUCGAAAGUGUGGGUAUCAAACAG